rnacentral:SRP_RNA from 1 species
GCCAGGCAAGUGGCACGUGCCUGUAGUUCCAGAUACUUGGGAGGCUGAGGCAGGAGAAUCACUUAAGCCCAGGAGUUCUAGGCUCUAGUGCACAAUGCUGACCAGGUGUGUGUCUGCACUAAGUUUAGCAUCAGUAUGAUGACCUCCCCGGAGUGUGGCACCACCAGGUUGCCUAAGGAGGGAUGAACUGGCCCAGGUCGGAAACAGAGCAGGUCAAAACUUGCGUGCUGAUGAGUAGUGAGAUCACACCUGUGAAUAGCCACCACACUCCAACCUGGGCAGUAUAGCAAGACCCCAUCUCU